UUUAAAACACAUAUAUUGAAGUGGAAAAUAAUAAUAAAUAGGUGUAUAUAGGGUUCUGAAUUGAAGAUAAUUUGGAGCAAAUAAUAAAGAAUAUGCAAAUAUAUAGUAUGGUUAGAGAAGAUGAUAAGGAAAUUGACAAGAAUUAUUAAAGGAUAAAAAGAUAAUUCUGUCUUCACCAUGAUAUGAAGUAAAAAUAAUGAAUCUGAAGAUUUUGGUUAACAAUAUUAAUGGGUUAAACAUACCACAAAAACGUAGGACAUUUUUUCAAUUCUUGUAUAAACAAAGGUGUGAUAUAAUAUGUAUUCAAGAAACGCAUAUAAAAAGAAAAGAUGAAGAACUAAUUAAAAGGAAAUCCCUUGGGGAA